AAAAUUUCAUGGGCGCUGCAGCAGCUACAAAGACGACGCCGGCUGCGCUCGGGGGGCCGGAGGGAGGGAGGCUGCGGACGAGUGCGGGGAGGAGUUUGAGGUGGGAGGCGCUUGCAGGGGCUCCCCCAGUUCUGCGCUGUGAGCCGGGGCACAAAGAGCCCGUCUGCACUCGCGCCGCAGGACCGCGGACCCGAGUUGGAGGCAUCUGUCCACCCACGUGGUUCCAGACACCUUCAUGUGGCCACCAUGACCCCAUCGGCGUCACGGGAGUAGCCAAGGUCCACAGAGCCAGGGGAAACAGUUACUGUGGACCAAGCCAGGCUCCUCUGAGCAGCCCAGGGUCUAUUUACAGAGAACACCAAGUUCCUGGGACAGAGGAGCGAGAAGGGAAUUUCCAGGCUCUUCAGGCCGUUCACAACCACGCUGAGAAGUGUCAUUGCAGAUAAGUAUUGAAACUCACCAGCCCCUAGCCUACCAGCCUGCCCUCUUCUGGUCUGUGCGGGAAAGUGUGGCAUCCUAGAAUCCCACAGCGGGAGGGGAAAUGGGUCAUUCACUUUUCUACCUCUACGGAAGAGAGAACGUGCUUGUCCCCACUUUAUGGGGUCCCAGAAAGGGUGACUUUCACACUCCACUGUUGGCCUCAGGGCUAGUGUUUUAUAAACGUCAACAUCUGGAACUUUUGGAUGGCUGAGUUAAAUGACUUCAUCUCGUGUGCCUGUAAAUCUGGUAUUAGAAGGAGGCUGGGGACUCCUGGGUGACGCGAACUGGCCCUUCUCUUCUUAGUUUCGGCAUUUUGUUAUCCUGUUUAUAAACCUCGGCUUGGGUUCCUCAGCCUUGCAGUUUAGUGGAGACUUCGCUCUGUGCCUUUAGAUGCAGUUUUCUCAGUGCCAGAGUCUGAGUUCGUCUCCAGCUCUGGACUCGUGCCCCCACUCCUAGGUGCCGACAGCAAGCUCUGAAAAUAUGCUGAGAAGGCUCCCUGACUCUCCAGACUCAGGCCUGCCAUCGAUGAAGACAGCACAGCUGUUACCCAAAGCAAAACCUGGCAGGUGGUGCUAGGUCAGGAUUAGCGGUCAUUCUCUGGUCUUCUCCAGAUUGAUGACUCAGGAGGGGCCUGUGGGGUCUGUGUAGGGAAGGAAGGAGCUGGGAGCCUGGGCUGCCUGUGUGCCGGCUGCAUGCUGCCAGCCCCGGCACGGACCAAGCACCUUCUCUGAGCCAGAUGCUGGGGAGGCAGAGGUGAACCCAGAGACGUGGUCCCGUCUGCUCGGAUCUUCAUGUCAGAACACGCUUCAUUACGGUCUCAGCGCGGGGGUGAGCUCCCCAUCCCGGGAGCAGUGUGUGUAUGCGAGUGGCUCCAUCUGGGCCGAAUCUCAGGGACUCCUGGCCUGGCCUUCUCUUUGGACCUCGGGUGACCCUGGACUCUGGCCACAGGGACUUAUCAAGCAGACUCUGAUGGUUUUCUAGCCCCCUGGGUGACUCCCUGACAAUCUCAUCCUCCUCACCCGUUGAGAUGCAGCCUCCCAUGGACAGGAGCUCUUCCUGGCUGGUGUUUGACGACUGGAUGUGGCUCCAGGGGGAUGAGGGAGGCCUGGCAGCCCGAUACUCCCUCCUCACCUGCUGGCUGGGCCCUAUUGUCUGGGGCUGGGGGCCCUUUCCUGACGCCAUGUGAACUUGGUUCCUCCUCGAGUUUCUGCCGGUGACCAGACAGAGCCUGGUCACCACUGACCACACUCUCCCCAGAGCUGGGUCUCAAAUGACCCUACAGGAUGGGGACAGGAAUAGGGAUGGGAGUCGGGGAGGGGCUGUCGGUGGGAGGGCCGGUGCAGCUUCUCAGGUGACACUGGCUGGAGUCCUCUGUCUGUCUCCGUUUGGCCUGUGUGAAACUGUCAUUUUUGCGGGGGGCCUCCUUGGUGGGGCUUUUCCAUGCUUUCCCUCUCCCUGAUGGUGAAAAGGGGAGAUAGUCAGGACUUGGGGGGAGCUGGGGCCUUCCCCCUGCGUUGCUGAACUCUGGGAGGGGCAGCUAGGGGGGCUGAGUGUGCACCGUCCUGAGAAGAGAGGGUCUUUACGGGAUAAGAAGAUCUAGGCCAGGGAAAUUCACUAGAAAGAGAUAGGUGGCCCUGGGUGUUUUUCCUGCCAUUCAAAGGGAACCAGCCUUACCCAAAGGCUGCAGGGGCCACCUGAGCCCAGUCUCGGGACACUCUGCUCCAGUCAGAUCCCUGCUUCUAGCCGCACUGCUCCUGGAUUCUGUUCUUGGGGAGCAGACGGUGGCAGGACAGCCCCCACGAUCUGCCUCUCCAUGUGCAGUUUUCCUUACAUGCCCACCUCUCGGCUUUCCUCCUCCGAUUACAGCCCCCUCUGGAGGGGACAGUCCCAGUGUUUACCGGAGAGCAGCUUGUGGCCUCCCUUAGACAAGUUUAAAAGCCAGAUGUCCUUUUUCCCAGAAUGGGGAGGAGGGUGGUUGUGUACUCUUCAUCAGCAUGGGCUGCCACAGCACCAUGCCACAGACUGGAUGGCUUAAACAGCAGGAAUGUACUUUCUCCCAGUUCUGGAGGCUGGAAAGUCCAAGAUCGAGGUGUCAGAGUUGGUUUCUGGCGAGGCCUCCCUCCUUGGCUUGCAGGUGGCACCUUUUUGCUGUGUCCUCACGUGACCUUUUCUCCACGGAGAGGGAAGGACGGCAGGAGCGUGCUCUGGUGUCUCCUCCUCUCCUUAUAAGGACACCAAUCCCAUCAAAUUAGGGCUCGACCCUGUGACUUCAUUUAACUUUAACCCCUUAAAGGUCCCAUCUCCAAAAGCAGUCACUUAGUGGGCUACUGCUUCAACACAAGCAUUUGGGGGAGGGGACACCAUUCCGUCCUUAACAGUGUGAUCACCACAAACCCGGAAAGCCAGGGCCAUCUCCCCUUCAGAAUUCCCACUCCCCACCCAGGGAGGGGGAAGGGGAACAGAGGUAUGGGAAGCAGACACUGAGAGUGACAGGUACCAUGCUGGGGUGGCUCCGGAGUGCUUCGGAGGACGGACGGAGGACGUAUGGAAUUGGCUGGGCUCGGUGCAGAAAGGAGGGGCCCCUGGGAGAGCCGUGUCCUGAGAAGAGCCUGGGCUACAAUCUUGGGCCAGUUACUUCACCUCUGAGCCUCAACUUCUCUGUGAAAUGAAAGGCACAUGCUCACCCGUCAGGUGCAGGGAGGAGUCAGUGAGAUCGCAUGCCUGGCACAGCGCUGGACUCCCAGUAGGUGCUCAGCAAAUGCUCCCAUCCAUCCUGGAGUAUAGGUUUAGGGAUUAUCCUGUUUUUUUUUUUUUUUUUUUUUUUUGGUUGGCUCUCUGGACUUAAAGCCUCAGCAUCUUCUGAUCCAGAGGCGUUUCUGAUCAGCCCUUCCCCUGGCUGUUUCCGCAAUAUCCCUCUCUAAUCAGCUUGGGGAGGUGGCAGCAUUUCAUGGCCUCCAUAGUAACUCACGAUGCUUCCUGGGGUAUUUAAAUUCUACUCUCUCAUCAGCAUUGAGCACCUACUCUGGGGUCUUCCCUGUGCUAGCCAUUUGGGGGAAAUAUGGGUGAAGAGUGGGCAGGGUUUGAACCUUAUGAUUUCACAUCCAUGCUGGAUGGGUAAAACCAGCUCACGGUCUAUGGAGGUACAAGUUCUGAGUACUUGGUAAGUGCUUGGUAAGUGGGAGAGAGACCCCAGAGAGGGCUGCUGCAGUCUGGAACAGCUUCCUAGCAAGCUGUACCAACCAGGGCCUUGAAGGAUGAGAAAGAUCUGGCUGAGAUGAGACCCUCUAGUGAAAUUCCCAGAGUAAGUUCUAGGAAGUGUCAUUGCUCUUUCAGAAAAACAAAAAAAAAAAAACAAAA